UACGUAGGUGGCGAGCGUUAUCCGGAAUGAUUGGGCGUAAAGGGUGCGUAGGCGGUUCGUCGCGUCCGGUGUGAAAGUCCAUCGCUUAACGGUGGAUCCGCGCCGGGUACGGGCGGGCUUGAGUGCGGUAGGGGAGACUGGAAUUCCCGGUGUAACGGUGGAAUGUGUAGAUAUCGGGAAGAACACCAAUGGCGAAGGCAGGUCUCUGGGCCGUUACUGACGCUGAGGAGCGAAAGCGUGGGGAGCGAACAGG
rnacentral:rRNA from 1 species